rnacentral:lncRNA from 1 species
GGUUUCCGAGGGGGUUGGAUUGUGUUCUCAGCCCUACGCCAGCCUGUCGGGACAUCUAUGUGUAGUCAGACAGCUGCCUUCUGAUCCGCGGUGGUGGCUCUCACCUGUAAGACACUGCUCCCUCACCGGAGGCGUCUUUGUCGUGUUCUGGCUUUUGGCUCAGCAACUAUGUAGAGAUACUGGAAUCCACCAACAAGGCCCAGCAAGGGCCUGUUCACUUCUGUUGCCCGUCUUUCCCUGCCGGCUGCGAUUGCAAGGCACUCCGUGUGCCUUAGAGAGCGAGGAUGGACACAGUCAUGGGCUUGGUGUCAUUUGAGGAUGUGUCUGUGGACUUCACCUGGGACGAGUGGCAGGACCUGGAUGACGCUCAGAGGAAGCUCUACAGGGAGGUGAUGCUGGAGACCUACAGCAGCCUGCUGUCCUUGAG